AAGACUAUAGACCUGCGGAGUACCUGCGGAAGGAUCAUUACUGAGUUAUUACAACUCCCAAACCCCUGUGAACAUACCUAACGUUGCCUCGGCGGAACGCCCCGGUCGCCCCUCGGGGUCCCGGAUCCAGGCGCCCGCCGCAGGACCCAACAAACUCUUUGUAUUAUUUGAAUCUUCUGAGUCUUAUAAACAAAAUAAAUCAAAACUUUCAACAAUGGAUCUCUAGAUCGGAAGAGCACA
rnacentral:misc_RNA from 1 species